UGGGACCUAAUGGAUUUAAAUGGCUUAAGAGAACAGGAUGACUUGUUGUAAACCAUCCUUUCAAAAGACCUCACCGAAGGCCAAAGACAAGACUCAUUGAGGCCAAGAUUCAGUCAGUCCUGCCGUUAACACUUGUAAGGAAAAUGAGAAUUUAUUUCACUGUGACUAAGAUACCAGGGCACAAUGUUCCAGAGACUUCUGUGAAGGGCAGUGCGAUCCACGCUCCUUCAGCACGUCCACAGCACUGUGCACAAGAGCGACAGCUCCAAACUUUCUGUACAGGACAAGUGAAGGGACAGCUGUCUGGCUGAAGUUACACUUGCGUAGUAAGCACCCUGCUUUUACUUAGCUGCCAUGUUUAUUUGGUACCUUGGAGUGAGGUGCUGGGUUCUGCUAGAUGCCUUCUUUCCAGGAAGAUAACCCAGGUCAUCACCAUGAAAGCAUGAAACUUUAGUCACCCACCCGAGGGGAUUCGUGGACAUAUUUCAAGAAUUUCUCGAAGGGACUGUGCUUAUAGACCCCCUGGUCAGUGUAGGAAGGAGGCCAGGGCACUGAAGGAAGGCUUCCAGCAGGGAGAGCAGGCUGAAGGUGAGAGGAAUAAAGGGAAGGAGGGGCUGAAGUCUGAAAAUGAAUGCUGCUAGGUCAUGGGGAAAGAUGUGCCAGGUCUAAAACAGUGCUGGUCACUCUCUGCACCCAACUCUUCUGCCCUGUCUAUACAGCUCUUCCUUGUGACCGCUGGGUGUCAAAUACUCCCUUUCUGCUUUCACUUGC